AGAGUUUGAUCCUGGCUCAGGAUGAACGCUGGCGGCGUGCCUAAUACAUGCAAGUCGAACGAGGACAAUUAGAUCUUCGGAUUUAUGAAAUCCUAGUGGCGAACGGGUGAGUAACGCGUUGGUGACCUGCCCCGAAGAGGGGGAUAACAGUUCGAAAGGACUGCUAAUACCCCAUAAGCUCACGAGAGUUAGAGGUCUAGUGAGAAAAGGAGUAAUCCGCUUCGGGAGGGGCCUGCGUCCCAUCAGCUAGUUGGUAGGGUAAAAGCCUACCAAGGCGAUGACGGGUAGGGGACCUGAGAGGGUGGCCCCCCACAAUGGAACUGAAACACGGUCCAUACACCUACGGGUGGCAGCAGUAGGGAAUAUUGCUUAAUGGGCGAAAGCCUGAAGCAGCAACGCCGCGUGUACGAUGAAGGCCUUCGGGUUGUAAAGUACUUUUUGUAGGGAUGAGGAAGGACAGUACCUGCAGAAUAAGCCUCGGCUAACUACGUGCCAGCAGCCGCGGUAAAACGUAGGAGGCGAGCGUUAUCCGGAUUUACUGGGCGUAAAGCGCGUGUAGGCGGAUUGGUAAGUUAGCUGUGAAAGCUCCCGGCUUAACUGGGAGAGGUCGGUUAAUACUGUCAGUCUAGAGUAUGUGAGAGGGAAGUGGAAUUCCGGGUGUAGUGGUGAAAUGCGUAGAUAUCCGGAGGAACACCAGAGGCGAAAGCGGCUUCCUGGCACAUUACUGACGCUCAGACGCGAAAGCUAGGGGAGCAAACGGGAUUAGAGACCCCGGUAGUCCUAGCUGCAAACGAUGUAGGCUUGGCGUUGGUGGGGUCAAACCCAUCAGUGCCGGAGCUAACGCAUUAAGUCUACCGCCUGGGGACUACGGCCGCAAGGUUAAAACUCAAAGGAAUUGACGGGGACCCGCACAAGCAGCGGAGCGUGUGGUUUAAUUCGAUAUUACACGAAGAACCUUACCAGGGUUUGACAUGCAAGUGGUAGUGAAGCGAAAGCAGAACGACCCUUCGGGGAGCUUGCACAGGUGCUGCAUGGCUGUCGUCAGCUCGUGUCGUGAGAUGUUCGGUUAAGUCCGCUAACGAGCGCAACCCUCGUCGUGUGUUACAAGUGUCACGCGAGACCGCCGGUCAUAAACCGGAGGAAGGUGGGGAUGACGUCAAGUCAGCAUGGCCUUUAUGUCCUGGGCUACACACACGCUACAAUGGCCAGUACAAUUGGUAGCAAAGUCGCGAGGCGGAGCCAAUCCGUAAAAGCUGGCCCCAUUUCAGAUUGUAGGCUGCAACCCGCCUGCAUGAAGAUGGAGUUGCUAGUAACCGCAGGUCAGCAAUACUGCGGUGAAUACGUUCCCGGGUCUUGUACACACCGCCCGUCACGUCAUGGGAGCUGGAG
rnacentral:rRNA from 1 species